ACAGCAGAACCCGCGAGGGAGGCGCUUGAACAACGAGUUGGUCAUCAGAACCGGGUCCCCUGAAUUUACUUUCUCAACUGCAGGGAAGUAUCUCCUGAAUUUCACCUAAUCUCAAGCGUUCAUUCAAAUAGACUCAAUCUCAGCCACACACGUUGCUCAAGGCCAAAAAAGAAUCCAUCCAGAGACUUCCCAUCGGAAUACCAACGCAGAACAGCGCUCGACGAGUACGGCACCCAAUCUCCCAGCCCCGGCGGCGCCCGACCUCCAAACCCAGCAGCGCCCUGGCUUGGAUCCCGACGGCGGCGUCCUCCCUCGCGUCCCGGCGGCGGCGGCCUCCCACACGUCCCGACGGCGGCGUCCUCCCUCGCGUCCCGACGGCGGCGUCCUCCCACACGUCCCAACGGCGGCGGCCUCCCCCGACCCCAAACAGCAGCGCCCUGCCUCCGACAUCAACGAUGCUCUCCAUUGUCAACCUGGUAAUGCUUCCUAAAUAACUAGUUUUGUUUAGACUAAUAAGUGCAUUACAUGUCUAAUUCAAAAUGAAUUACAUGUCUGAUUCAAGUCUUAGCAAAAGAUCUCAGAAGCUAAUUAGAUUGACAAAUCAACUAAUUCCUCCAUUAUAGCUUGAUCCUUGUGAGUUUAGACCACCCUACACCAUAAGAUAAACCAAAUGAUAAGUAAUAAUAAAGUGUGAUCAAUCUUAUUAGUCAUAGGUGGAUAUUUACCAGUAAUAGCUCAGUAAAGCUAGUAAAAGAUCCAAAGCCCUCAAACACGCUAGGAUUGUCUUCGGGCAUGUUUUGGCUUCUUUGUCUUUGUCUUUGUGAUGCUCUAUGCAACUUUUCAUACCAUGUUCUUUGCCGCCUUGAAGUCCUCUUCUUAACAACCUUUUUCUUUAAACCAGUGAUGUGAGAGUACUCUUCAGGUAUUGCAAUUGUUGUUUGUUCCUUAGGCUGGUUAGCCAACUCAUUUGGAGUGUUUUUUAUCUUUUCAUCAACAUCUCUAUGUAGAGUAUCGAGUACAUUAUCAAUAUAUGAAUAGAUUUCUUCAUAGUCAGCUGCACGAGAAGCAAGUGACAGGAACUUGCGGGCAAGAUUUUGGUAGUGUCUUGUUGCAUCAAUUUUUGGGUUUUCUAUAACAUUGUCUCCACGAAUAUCUUGUAUAGAACCACAUCUUGCUUCACGAGUCCAUCUCUUUAGAAUGUAGUGCUCAGGCAAUACCUUAAUAUUCAUCAUGUCAAGAACCUUUAAAGCGUGACAACACAUUAUUCCAACUCUUUCAAAUUGCCGGCAGCUGCAACAAACCAUUUCAUUCGGAGGAUCAAAUUCAACUUUGUAUUCCUUUUCCAUUAUGGUUUUUCCAUCCACAACCUUAACAACCCCCAUAGUGAACUCAUUAGGUUUUUCCAUUGGUCUAGCAUAUGCUGCCAAUGAUCUUUCAUACUCAACUUGAAAGGCUUCAAAAAUACAUGCAGUGUACAUGUUGCUUGCUUGUAUCAACAUAGGUGUUCUCACAUGUAUUCGUGGCAAUUUCUUUCUUGAGUUGUAUUCAGCAUCCAACUCUUUAUCUCGCUUGCUUGCAACCACCCUUUCAAAAUGAGUGAAAAACCUAGCAAUGUCCAAAUCACAUUUUAAAACAUCUUUCAUAUCUUUGUUUAGGCUUUCACUUAAUUGUGUGCUUCGCAUUCCAAGAGUGAAUACGUUCUUCAUGUAACAUUCAGCCCAUUUCUCCUUUUGUUGGUAGAGACCACCCAACCAAGUAUCAUUUUUCACUUUACUUCUCAAGGUGCUGAAACUUUUCUCAAAUGUGUUCACAUCCUCAUAUUCAUACAUACAUGCACUUAACUCAGCCAAGGCACUAGAUUCAUCUCUUCCUGUGCGAGCUAGGUGUUUUAUAGCAUUUUGCAUAAUGUGAAAUGAACACAAGCCAUGCCAAGAUUCCAGAAAUACCACUGAUAUUGCAUUUUUCAUUGCCAUAUCUUGAUCUGUAUAGAUAGUUCUUGGAUGCUUUUGCUUGUGUGCUUCUAGAAAUGCUUCAAACAACCAUUUGAAAGAAGAUUCUGUUUCAUCAUACUUCCUGCCUCUCCAUACAUCAUAUUUCUUUGUCUUUUUGUCCUCAAAUAAUUUUUGUGAUCAAUUCUUGUGUAACCAAGGUUACAUGAACCACCAGCUUGUCUACUAGCUAACUCAUGAGCAUCUUUAGGGCUAAUUCCACAAUCAUCUGCCAUAUCAAUUUGACAAGCUUGCACACUUGAAAUUUUCCGUUGUGAAGGAAUUAGGUGGCAUGUUUCAGGAAGUUGAAGAAUAUGGUUAUGUUCAAGUACUAAAUCAUUUAACUGGUAAUUUCCCUCUUCUCUGUUUAAUAUAAUGCUCAUUCGAACUUUACAACCAGUUCUUGUUUCAGCCCGAGGAUGCUUUGUUAGAUGAUCUCUUGGAUCUUUUUCUCUAAAACCAGCCUUUGCACACACAAAUCUGCUUGAAGUGGAUACUCCAUCUGUUUUUCUUUUGUUGUUAUAUUGUUUUCUUGCAUCAAAUCCUACCAUACCACCAUAGGAAACCCAUAAAUUCCAUGCCUGUUCUACACUAUUAAAUUUCAUACCAAUACUUGGCACCCAAGAAGGUUGAUUCUCCAUUCUACAAGAAAAAACACAAUGCAGUUCUAAGUUUGGUGUUUACUUGCUCAUAAAAGAACUUGCACCAAAAUUUAGUUGCCAAAUAAAACCAGAUGAUUUGAUGGAAAAAGUUUGAUUUUGACUUACUUUUGUGGUUCCAUUCAGGUGGCAGUAGCUAUUUGCCUUUCACAAAAGCAAAAACAAGAGAGUGGGGACCAAGAGAAUAAGAUGGAGGGGACCAAGAGAAGAGAAGGAGGAUAGGAACCAGGGACCUUGGAGUGUUGCGAGUAGGAAGAAAAGGAACAAGAAAUGGAGGGGACCAAGAGAACAAAAGGAGAGGGAGACCAGGAGUUGCCUGGAGUGUUGGCGCAUUUUUUAGUUGCCUGGAUUGUUGGCGUCUUUUUUAAGUUCUCUAUAGUGUUGGCACCUUUUUUUAUUGGCUGGAGUGUUGGCACCACUUUAUAGUGUACUUUAUUGAGUCCAACCGCUGAGAUGAAGCUAAAUUCAGUGAAGUUAUGUUUGUCAAAUUGAGAGGACCCGGUU
rnacentral:lncRNA from 1 species